rnacentral:tRNA from 1 species
UCCCGUGUAGCUCAGUUGGUAGAGCAUGGUGUUUGCAACGCCAGGGUUGUGGGUUCGAUUCCCACGGGGGGAA